rnacentral:rRNA from 1 species
GUCCUAGCCCUAAACGAUGCUCAUUAGAUGUGGGAGGUAUCGACCCCUUCCGCGUCGAAGCUAACGCAUUAAAUGAGCCGCCUGGGGAGUACGGCCGCAAGGUUGAAACUCAAAGGAAUUGACGGGGGCCCGCACAAGCGGUGGAGCAUGUGGUUUAAUUCGACGCAACGCGAAGAACCUUACCUGGGCUUGAACUGCAGAUGGUAGUCCGAUGGAAACAUUGGGCGACCCGCAAGGGAGUCUGUAGAGGUGCUGCAUGGUUGUCGU